UCCGGGCAAGUCUCAUACGACCAGCUCCCGCUGAAUUCCCCCAGGUCCGGAAGGAAGCAAGGGUAGGCGGUUGAGCGGUGCGAUAUGAGUCGCUUGCCCGC
rnacentral:SRP_RNA from 1 species